GACGAACGCUGGCGGCGUGCUUAACACAUGCAAGUCGAGCGGGCAAUUUAUCUAGCACUGAUUACUUCAAAUGGAAAUCAUAAGUGUAAUCAUGAAUUUCUACCUUUAAUAAAGAAAAAAGAAAUUCAUGUACGCAAAUAGUGAUAACACAUUUUAGUGGAGUGAUGAGUGCUGGAUAAAUUGCUAGCGGCGGACGGGUGCGUAACACGUGGGUAACCUGCCCCUAUCACUGGGAUAACACACUGAAAAGUGUGCUAAUACCAGAUAACAUAAGCUUUUGGCAUCAUUAGCUUAUCAAAGAAUUUCGGAUAGGGAUGGGCCCGCGUCUGAUUAGCUUGUUGGCGGGGUAACGGCCCACCAAGGCAACGAUGGGUAGCCGAUUUGAGAGGAUGAUCGGCCACACUGGAACUGAAACACGGUCCAGACUCCUACGGGAGGCAGCAGUGGGGAAUAUUGCGCAAUGGGCGAAAGCCUGACGCAGCGACG
rnacentral:rRNA from 1 species